rnacentral:tRNA from 1 species
GCUCUUAUAGCUUAAACAAAAGUACAGUGCUGAACACUAAAAUGAACCCUAAAAAGUUCUAAGGACA